ensembl:snRNA U6 U6 spliceosomal RNA
GUGCUUGCUUCAGUAGCACAUAAAGUAAAAUUGGAAUGAUACAGAGAUGAUUAACAUGGCCCCAAAGCAAGGAUGACAUGCAAAUUCACAGAUUCAUUUACAACAGUU